GGGCUCGAUGAGUCUCGGGGCCACCUCCCACCCGUGUAUACCGUACCUUGUUGCUUCGGCGGGCCCGCCGCGCAAGCGGCCGCCGGGGGGGCGUCAAACCCCCCUCCCUAGGCGAGCGCCCGCCGGAGACACCAACGUGAACACUGUCUGAAGUUUUGUUGUCUGAGUUCGAUUGUAUCGCAAUCAGUUAAAACUUUCAACAAUGGAUCUCUUGGUUCCGGCAUCGAUGAAGAACGCAGCGAAAUGCGAUAAUUAAUGUGAAUUGCAGAAUUCAGUGAAUCAUCGAGUCUUUGAACGCACAUUGCACCCCCUGGUAUUCCGGGGGGUAUGCCUGUCCGAGCGUCAUUGCUGCCCUCAAGCACGGCUUGUGUGUUGGGUCGUCGUCCCCCCGGGGACGGGCCCGAAAGGCAGCGGCGGCACCGCGUCCGGUCCUCGAGCGUAUGGGGCUUUGUCACCCGCUCUUGUAGGCCCGGCCGGCGCUGGCCGACGCUGAAAAGCAACCAACUAUUUCUCCAGGUUGACCUCGGAUCAGGUAGGGAUACCCGCUGAACUUAAGCAUAUCAAUAAGCGGAGGAA
rnacentral:rRNA from 1 species